GCCGGGCUGCCCGCCCCGUGUGGGUGCUGCGGCUGGGAGAGGCAUCGGUGGAGGGAGCGCUCGGGCGCCGCGGCCCGCCCGGUGCGGCCUUGGGAGAGGGGGCUGCUGUCCUUGCGCCCAUAAAACGUUUCGGCGUACUGGUAUCGAAUAACCCGGUUUCGUCGAUACAGCUGCUUGAGGCUGCAGGGUCGCUGUGUGAGUAAAGGCUUGUACAGGGCCAGGCAUGGCUGGAAUAGGAAUAAAGAUGUAUUUUCUUGAGCUAUCCUAUGAACCGAGUGGAAUUGCUCCCCUGUGUGUGGCAUUGCUGGUUUUAUACUCGCAGUAAUGUUUUUUUAGGACCUGACUAGUAUGUGGGACUGACAGCUUAGUGCAACGGGAAUUUUUCCCAUGGAUUUGAGAGGGCACAUGCUUAGACCUUUGUUCUUUCUAAAGUAGAAGCACAUUUUCUUUCCUAACAAAAAAAAAAUUCAGAGUAGUAAGGAGAAGGGUUAUGUAAAGCCAGAUGUUGAAAGGUACUGCGUAGCACCAACUGACAGUUCAGACUUUGAUUUUCUUGGUGCUGAUGUUGGCACCAGAUACAUUAAAAUGAUUUUCUAUUUUCUCAGCUGCCUCGACAUCAGCUGUAUCAUCAACAUCAUCAACAUCAGCUGUGACAUCAACAGUGGGACAGUACAACAAAGCAACUAGCACAAUAGCGAGAGACUUUAGCAAGCAAAUAAAAUGACAAUUUUCUCAAUCAAACACAGGAUGCUGUGAAACUGCUGAAGCUCUGCAAGAAUGGAAGACCUCUGAGCUGGGCUCUCUUCUGCCAUCAGCUGGAGGACAGGAUCCCUGAUGAGACAGGAGACCUGAGCCGCUGGAGAUAGGAGUGAGGGAAGGAGUCUGUCAUUAUUUGCAGGAGAGAUCUGUGGCUGAGGGAGAAAGGCACUACCAUCUUAGGGGCUGUGCAGUGACUCUCCUGGGUAUAUGAAGGAGGGCAAGGGUAACUACAGAACAAGAAGCUGCUGUGCUGAAAUUGCUUCAGGCUACCUCCUGGAAGGGUCUGCAGAGGAGUGUCUGACAUUCUCAUCCCUUCUGGGCAAUACUCUGGUUGCUUCUGCAAGAGCAAGAAGUGUUUACAGAGGGCUACAGCACCCCAAGUUUUCUACUCACUGACUCACAGAAGUGCUAGUCUGUACAAGCCUUGCUGGUUGCAAAUUUUCAAAUACUGUUUCAGUGAAAAUCAGGUAAAAGGGAGUUAAAUGAAUUGCCAGUUCCUGAAGCAUUAAUUAAUAAAAGACUGGAAGAACUCCAAACACUUUUUAGUGAUGAGGCCUUGUCUUCUUCACUAAGAGGAAGUUGUGAAGGCAGUACUUGCAUAGUUGUGCAUAUAUGGGUUUAUCUUACCUCAAGGUGACUAUGGCUGUGUCUACAUUAGUGAGUAGCACAGCGUAAUAGAAAUUGAUUUGUAGAACCAGACAGUGCUGAAGAGCCAGUGCUUUUUUAAGGUGGUCAGUUCGGACUGACUCUAGUCAGGUCCGAUGGACUGACCGCCCUUUAGCAGCUGAAGCACCCAAGAUGAGUUUAACAAGCACAUCUUCCAAUUUUGUUUUGUCCAAAAGAAAUCCAGUCCAUGUGCUCGGAGGCUGUUCUGUGACAUGAACCCAAGUGCUCAACAUGGGAGCUAUUGGGAGACUGUCAGAAAAGCGCCUUCCUGAUUUUAACAUGAAUGCUAAUGUAGGCACCCUACCUCAAGUGCCAGCUACACUGAGGUAAAAUCAUAGUGCAAGAUUGAUACUUUCAUUUUCUUACAAGGCAUGUUCAUUGAGGUCAUCACAGGAACAUUGGGUGUAAUUGCUAUUUGUGAUUUAAUGUCAAAGGCUUCGUUGUCAUCUAUUUUCCCAUCUUUCAGCCCAGAUGAAAUAUUCUUUAAAGAUGUAUUAAAGGGUUUCUACUUUGUACCUUUGUAUCUUCUUAUUUUAUUCCACUUUGUAAAGCCUAAGGCUUAGUCCACUUGUAAUUUCAUGAGGCUUUCAGUGGUUUAGAUCAGGCUCAUAGGUUCUAUGCCAUACAACAAAAGCAUUUUCAGAACUCUUCGGGGUAAUUUUCUCUUUUGUAUCCUCUUUUAUAUUUCUUAUUUGACUUUCAGAGAUUGUUACAUGCAUGAAAGCAUCUGCUGGCAUUGUUCCUGACUAUGAUGACAGGUUGGGUCAUUAUCAAGGGUUCUUGGAAGUCAAGGAAGAUGUUGGAGCUAUUUAUGAAAAACUGCAUACUCAUUUCCAACUACAUUGAUGAGACUACCAGAAGAAAGUGGUUAAGUUCCACAAUUUGUUGACUGAAGCUGAAGGAGCAGCUUUUAGCUGUGGAGGUAUUUUCAGUUUCAUGUGUGCCUGUAAGUCAAGUGGAAAACUUGUCCUUUAGUAGAUUCUGUGCAAGAAAUCUUUUAUGAACACUGAUCACUAGUAUGAACACUGUUGUGGCUGCCCUGGUGCUACAGUAGUGGUACCUCUUGAUGGAGGCAUAAAUACCAUCUUCCAGGAUAAUAUUUAGUUAUAUAUAGCACAGUUGUAUUGCAUAAAGUGCUGACAAUUGUUGCAGGAACAGGGAGGUCAUCCACAUGAAGGACUGAUCUAAAAAGAAAAAUUUCUAAAACUCGUGGCUAGUUUAAAAGCAGUUCAGUUAACCUGUUUUUAAAAAUAGCCAGAGCUGGAGCCACAGUUGCUGAAAAUGUUAUACUGUAGGUCUGCCACUGACUGUCAUUACAAGAGGUGUAGCCAUCACACCAGUAAUGCUAUCUCUUUUUAGCCUAAGUAGAGACAAAGCAUAAGUGUGUUGUGGAUUCAGUACCACAUAAACAGGAAUAGCAAAGUUCAAGUAAAAUAGAUCUUUAAAAAAUGCAACUGAUAGUAGUAGAAGAGUUUUGUUGAAAGUUUUUGUUUUUCUUCAAAGAUUUACCAAGAUUGGAGCCAAAAGACUUUGGACAAACUGAUGCACGAGGCUAAGAACAGAGAGCAGUGGGGAGGGAAAAAAAAAGAGGAUACUGAAGGAUAAGAUACCCAAGGAGAAAAACUAAAUUACGGGAAUGGACAUGCUUUAGAGCAGAACAGAAAGGAGGGAGCUUGGCAAGAGGAUAUGAAAGAGAACAGGACUACUGAAAGGACAUCCACAUGGAAAAUAGUCACCCAACAUAAGAGGUAUGUCGCAGUUCAUGUAUGAGUAAAUACAGACAUUACAGAUUGGAACCAAUUGGUGCCAUAGUGAGUAUAGCUCUUCAUUUGUGGAAAUGCUGGCCUAGAAUAUCUUUACUAGACUUCUCUGUUGGCUUUAUCUUCAACUGCUAAGAAAUUUGUGUCACACCAGCUAUACCUUAAUCAAGAGAUCUGAUUUAAAACCCAAAAUGGCCAUAAUGGAGGGAGGAGUGGGUGUAUGUGUGUGGUUCCUUAACUGUGUGUAGUUGACUGUGUCCCAUGAUUGUGUCUUGUGGUUUUUAUUACAGAGAGCUGAAGCAUGAUCCAGUAGAUAAGACAGAUCAGGAAGAGCUUAAGGCUUUUCAGGGUGGCUGUAACUUUUUUAAAGGUGGCCACUUACUGCAUAGAAACCUUCAGAGCUUCUGCUCCAUGGGCAGGGGGAGAAUGUUAAUACCCAGGACUAUUAACUUGAGUUUCAGAUUUAAUGUCAGUUUUGCCUCAGUUAGUGUCUUUAAACUUUGGCCAUUCAGUGGUGUUGAUAGGUCAUCUGCUGUGGAUGUUACUGGGAGAUCCAAGUGCAAACAGAAAUACCUGGGUUGUGAGGCUGUGCUGGCUAGCCAGUGCACCAAGCCUGCAUUAGAGAAACAAACUUUUUUUUCAGUUCAUUGCAGUUCUUCCUUUCCUGAGGAUGGGUGUGUGGGGCCACCUGAUAAGAAGCACACUAAAAGCUGCUAGUGUUAUGGAGAUGGUGUUCAAAACUUUUUGUACUUUCACCAUUGGUACUAGAAGCCAGCUGGGUCAAGUGGCACAGACCAGACUGCUCUUGUUUCCUGAAGGCAUUUUCAUUUGUAGGAAUCAUUAGUGCAACUUUACACUUAUUAAUUCAAGCAAUGAAAACUUGACUGGUUUUGUAGCUACUUACAUUAACAAUGUAUUCCAGUUAUUUCCUUCCUGGGGAGUGAAAGGGACUUUGAGGGUGACAAAAGCUUAUUAGGUCACCCCAGGAACACAUUUCUGCAAUUGUUUGGCAGUUCUUGAAAAUCUGAGUCAUGCCCUUUCCCGAUUCAAAGUUUCACUGGUGAGCUCCCUCUCGCUACUUGUCACUUUCCCACCCCAACAUGUACCCAUGCCUGUUUGCACACCACAAAAUGUUUCUCAUGUUAUCACAAGUGACCUAUCCCUGCAACUGUUACAAUACUAUAAACAGUUGAGGUCUAUUUUUGAACAAAACUCUUAACUAAAUACUGAGCUUGCCUGCCUUGGUUUUUGGGGGUUUUGUUGUUUGUUUUUUAGUGAUUACAUUCAUAUGAGCCAACUAAAAUGAAUUUUAAACCAAGAUGCUGCAAAUCCACCUGUAAUUUUGUAGGAAAACUUACAGCAGUAAUUACAAAUGAGCAAAUUUACAAUAUCAAGAUUUGUGUGUAGGCAACUGAAGAAUAGGACAAACAGAUAAACUUAUCAAACAUACUUCAUUAGUCUACAAAUGUGCUAUUAUUUCUAAUAAUUAGGUUUGGGUCUUUUGCUUUUUACAAAAUAAAUUAUUGGCA